ACGGAAGGCAGCAGUGGGGAAUAUUGCACAAUGGGGGAAACCCUGAUGCAGCGACGCCGCGUGGGUGAAGAAGUAUUUCGGUAUGUAAAGCUCUAUCAGCAGGGAAGAAAAUGACGGUACCUGACUAAGAAGCCCCGGCUAACUACGUGCCAGCAGCCGCGGUAAUACGUAGGGGGCAAGCGUUAUCCGGAUUUACUGGGUGUAAAGGGAGCGUAGACGGCGAUGCAAGUCUGAUGUGAAAGCCCGGGGCUCAACCCCGGCACUGCAUUGGAAACUGUGUUGCUAGAGUGCAGGAGAGGUAAGUGGAAUUCCUAGUGUAGCGGUGAAAUGCGUAGAUAUUAGGAGGAACACCAGAGGCGAAGGCGGCUUACUGGACUGUAACUGACGUUGAGGCUCGAAAGCGUGGGGAGCAGACAGGAUUAGAUACCCUGGUA
rnacentral:rRNA from 1 species